AAAGAUUAAUAAGUUAUUUCUGUAUCCAGGUAUGAAGGAAGUCGUCUAUCUUUGUGAUAAGUACAAUACUUCUCUGGAAACACAAGCCGCCAAACGGAUGUUUAAACAGGCAAAGAUACCAUUCAGGGAGUUCCUCCCCAAGGAGACUGAGGUUGUCCUUAAACUCAAGAGCGUCUGAAUGAGGCGAGGAAUGAAGAGGAUGACUUGAUAAGAUUAAAACUUGUUUCAUCAAAUGCGUUGGUUGUGUUCUACUUUAUAUAUAUAUUCUUUUUAAACCCAUUGACAUUUUUUAAAUGGGCAUCUGCUUAACUGCCAAGCAAAAUAUGAAAACGUUAAGCGAAGCUCUAACUGCAUCUGCCAUAGGGCCUUACAGCAGGCCAAUGAGUAAGACCUGGUGACCUAAAUAGUCCAAUUGAGCUAAAAAAAAUCUUAAUUUUGAUGGAGCUUGUUGAGGAUAAAUUACCAAGGCCUCAGCCGUCUACUCCUAUAGUCAGCGUUCAGGCAUGCAACCUCAGUCGCUCCUUUCUCUCUUUCUAAUAAUUGUAACACUUUUUAUUUUAUUUUAUAUGUUUUAUUUCCUGGUAUCUAAAGGCUUAAAACAUGUCUAAUCCCUGGAUCAUAAUCAUAGGCUACAUAUGUGUGAUCAUCAUACAUCAUUGUUUGCCAAAGUUACCUGCUAUGAAGAUGAACAGUUUAAAAUCUUUGUCUUCAUAACAUUCUGUGUCUCCACACCUUCAUUCCUUUAACCGUGUCAGCUCUCAGUUGAAGUCAAUAAAACAUUUGGACGGCAUGA